CACGUAGGCACCAAGCGUUGUCCGGAUUUAUUGGGCGUAAAGAGCUCGUAGGCGGUUCAGUAAGUCAGGUGUGAAAUCUUUGGGCUUAACCCAAAGCGUGCACUUGAUACUGCUGUGACUUGAGUUCGGUAGGGGGAGUGGGGGAAUUCCUAGUGUAGCGGUGAAAUGCGCAGAUAUUAGGAGGAACACCGGUGGCGAAGGCGCCACUCUGGGCCGAAACUGACGCUGAGGAGCGAAAGCGUGGGUAGCAAACAGG
rnacentral:rRNA from 1 species